GACAUCAUAAAUCAAGAAUUACAUAAUUGAUUAAAUAAAAUCAGGAUCUUCUCUUUAUAUUAUUUGUUCACAUGGAAGGAACAGACAUUACUCACGGAUUACAUUCAUAGCUGUUCAUUAAGAAAUUCUACGAAACUGUGAGAUCAAGACGCUUCCUACUCAGAUUCCAACAAAUUAAACUACCACUAAGAUUAUCAUGUUUGAUUCAUUAAGUACGAAACAAUAUACAAUAAUUAUGUAACACGACUAAAAAAUAUGAAAGGCUCAUGACACAUAUCUACCAUAGAUAUUCUAUACAAAGCCAUUGUACAGAUUAGACACAUAAACGAAGACAAUUAUAGAUAAUUAAAGAUUUCACGUACACAAACAUCUACCUUCCAUCUAUAACCUACUAAAAUUCCCGUUACUAAAAUUUUUUAUUAAACAAGAGAACCCUGAUGUUACGAUUAUGUUGCUCACCUUGGAAUACUUGCAACCGCGAACAAUAGUGACGCAAUGUUGCUCUGAUUCGACUCACCUGGUCGUUCGGCUUUUUGAAGGAAUUCUCGUAGGCAUAGUAUCGUUGUACGUCGACCUUGGACAGAUCGUCAGAUAUGUGCAAGGCUUUUUUUAAAGAGUUCUCGGUGGUGCCUCGAGCGCCGAAAUAUGCCAAGGUCAGAGCCUGAUGAAGACUGUGCGGACUAUAAAAAAUAUUGUCGCGCGACUCUAUCUGAGACAUCUUCUUAAGCGUAUCGAGGGCGAACCCGAAUCUCGAGUUGAUCACAGCUUUCUUCGAACCAACGUUCAUCGUCCGAGGACUGUCGUUUCCAGUGAGACAUUGCGUUGAUACGUAAGUUACCAGCAGUAGUAUUGGUAACACCGACGUUACCUAAAAGUAGGAGCGAUUAUUGAAAAAAAUAUUGGAAAUUUCGCAACUCUUUGGCAACUGUUUGGCCGUGAUUCUCAAUCGUAAUUUAUGCGACGAUUUCAGAUCCCGACAUACACGAGGUCAACAUGAUAUCAAUAAAUAAAUGGUCACACACGUCACCCGUAUC